UACAGAGGUCUCAAGCGUUGUUCGGAUUCAUUGGGGCGUAAAGGGUGCGUAGGUGGCGCGCUAAGUCAGGUGUGAAAUUUCGGAGCUUAACUCCGAAACUGCAUUUGAUACUGGCGUGCUUGAGGACUGGAGAGGAGACUGGAAUUCACGGUGUAGCAGUGAAAUGCGUAGAGAUCGUGAGGAAGACCAGUGGCGAAGGCGGGUCUCUGGACAGUUCCUGACACUGAG
rnacentral:rRNA from 1 species